UAGGGAAUCUUCCGCAAUGGGCGAAAGCCUGACGGAGCAACGCCGCGUGAGUGAAGAAGGAUUUCGGUUCGUAAAGCUCUGUUGUUAGGGAAGAAUGAUUGUGUAGUAACUAUACACAGUAGAGACGGUACCUAACCAGAAAGCCACGGCUAACUACGUGCCAGCAGCCGCGGUAAUACGUAGGUGGCAAGCGUUGUCCGGAAUUAUUGGGCGUAAAGCGCGCGCAGGUGGUUUAAUAAGUCUGAUGUGAAAGCCCACGGCUCAACCGUGGAGGGUCAUUGGAAACUGUUAAACUUGAGUGCAGGAGAGAAAAGUGGAAUUCCUAGUGUAGCGGUGAAAUGCGUAGAGAUUAGGAGGAACACCAGUGGCGAAGGCGGCUUUUUGGCCUGUAACUGACACUGAGGCGCGAAAGCGUGGGGAGCAAACAGGAUUAGAUACCCUGGUAGUCCACGCCGUAAACGAUGAGUGCUAAGUGUUGGUCUCAUAAGAGAUCAGUGCUGCAGCUAACGCAUUAAGCACUCCGCCUGNNAGUACGACCGCAAGGUUG
rnacentral:rRNA from 1 species